UAGCCUUGUCAAGGCUAAGUUACAGGUGAAAGCCCCGUAUAUCUCU
rnacentral:tRNA from 1 species